AGUGAACGCUGGCGGUAGGCCUAACACAUGCAAGUCGAACGGCAGCACAGUAAGAGCUUGCUCUUACGGGUGGCGAGUGGCGGACGGGUGAGGAAUACAUCGGAAUCUACUUUUUCGUGGGGGAUAACGUAGGGAAACUUACGCUAAUACCGCAUACGACCUACGGGUGAAAGCAGGGGAUCUUCGGACCUUGCGCGAUUGAAUGAGCCGAUGUCGGAUUAGCUAGUUGGCGGGGUAAAGGCCCACCAAGGCGACGAUCCGUAGCUGGUCUGAGAGGAUGUACGCCCCACAGGGAAAUAAGGACGGGGCCGGGCCCCAAGGGGAGGAGGCGGUGGGGAAUUUGGGAAAAGGGGCGAAAACUUGACCCACCCUAACCGGGGGGGUGAAGAAGGCCUUCGGGUUUUAAACCCUUUUUUUUGGGAAAAAAAAGCAGCAGGUUAAUCCCCCGCUGUUUGGCCGGGACCCAAAGAAUAAGCCCCGGCUACCUGCGG
rnacentral:rRNA from 1 species